GCGGCGUGCCUAAUACAUGCAAGUCGAGCGGACUUAAAAAGCUUGCUUUUUAAGUUAGCGGCGGACGGGUGAGUAACACGUGGGCAACCUGCCUGUAAGACUGGGAUAACUUCGGGAAACCGGAGCUAAUACCGGAUAAUCCUUUCCUACUCAUGUAGGAAAGCUGAAAGACGGUUUACGCUGUCACUUACAGAUGGGCCCGCGGCGCAUUAGCUAGUUGGUGAGGUAACGGCUCACCAAGGCGACGAUGCGUAGCCGACCUGAGAGGGUGAUCGGCCACACUGGGACUGAGACACGGCCCAGACUCCUACGGGAGGCAGCAGUAGGGAAUCUUCCGCAAUGGACGAAAGUCUGACGGAGCAACGCCGCGUGAGUGAUGAAGGUUUUCGGAUCGUAAAACUCUGUUGUUAGGGAAGAACAAGUACGAGAGUAACUGCU
rnacentral:rRNA from 1 species